UGGUCUAGAAAGACAAACCUAACUUCAUCCUGACUCAGAUUAUAAGCCGGUGGGUUACCAGUGAAGGGUGAGGGGCCUGCCAAGGCUUAUUAUCAGCCUGCCAGGAUGGCGGGUGACCUCCCUGGCAUCUUGCAGCACUUAGAGGAGCUUCUACCAUUGCCACUAUGGAAAAGGCCUGAAUUCGGGAAAAGAAGCCCACGAAAGGCUUACAAGUUCAUCUCAAAGACUGGACAAGCUUCUUAGAAGCACGACUGUAGAUUACCAAAGAGAAGAGGCAGUGACCUGGUUCAGAUCGCAGCUCACAAAACCACUGCCUAGCUUUGUGACCUUGGUCAUUUUGUUUUCACUUCCCUCAUCUGUAAAACAGGGAGAAUAAUGAUUUCUACCUUAUUGUCAUUGUGAGGUCCAAAUGAGUUAAUACUCAGAACCACGCCUGACAUAUGGUAAGUUUCCUAGAUUGUUAUUACUACUGUUGUUACAGGUGUGACCACAGAUGGGAAGGGUUUUCUUUCCAUUUCUCUUUAAAUUCUCCCCAAAAUACUCCAUUAAAAAAGCAAGGAUGAGAAACAA